UGGCAAGAGAUGUUGACAUCUCCAGAUAUGU
rnacentral:piRNA from 1 species